CGAUGUCACCAGAUCGGGUACCAUGGUGCAGAGUAAUCGGCAAGGCUGUUAAUAAUACUCGAUAGGAAUCAUUGAUUAUUGAUUAGAUUUAUAUUAUAGCGCUUUGAUUUUCUAACGCGCUUUGUUAGCUACGGUACAACCCAACCCAAAACAAAUGUUGAGUCCCAACCAGGCUCAAAGGUAGCCUUUCUGUCAUUUACCAGACUCUGACCAGUCUAUGGAACAAAAGAUCAAACUAAGAACCUUUACUUGGCUAACACACAGAGAGGAUGCUAAGAGGUAGCAUGAAGUAUAGUAAAGGAGAUGGACUGGUAAGGCUAAGAGGUAGCAUGAAGUAUAGUAAAGCAGAUGGACUGGUAAGGCUAAGAGGUAGCAUGAAGUAUAGUAAAGCAGAUGGACUGGUAAGGCUAAGAGGUAGCAUGAAGUAUAGUAAAGCAGAUGGACUGGUAAGGCUAAGAGGUAGCAUGAAGUAUAGUAAAGGAGAUGGACUGGUAAGGCUAAGAGGUAGCAUGAAGUGUAGUAAAGGAGAUGGACUGGUAAGGCUAAGAGGUAGCAUGAAGUAUAGUAAAGGAGAUGGACUGGUAAGGCUAAGAGGUAGCAUGAAGUAUAGUAAAGGAGAUGGACUGGUAAGGCUAAGAGGUAGCAUGAAGUAUAGUAAAGGAGAUGGACUGGUAAGGCUAAGAGGUAGCAUGAAGUGUAGUAAAGGAGAUGGACUGGUAAGGCUAAGAGGUAGCAUGAAGUGUAGUAAAGGAGAUGGACUGGUAAGGCUAAGAGGUAGCAUGAAGUAUAGUAAAGGAGAUGGACUGGUAAGGCUAAG